rnacentral:rRNA from 1 species
GACGAACGCUGGCGGCGUGCUUAACACAUGCAAGUCGAACGGAAAGGCCCUGCUUUUGUGGGGUGCUCGAGUGGCGAACGGGUGAGUAACACGUGAGUAACCUGCCCUUGACUUUGGGAUAACUUCAGGAAACUGGGGCUAAUACCGGAUAGGAGCUCCUGCUGCAUGGUGGGGGUUGGAAAGUUUCGGCGGUUGGGGAUGGACUCGCGGCUUAUCAGCUUGUUGGUGGGGUAGUGGCUUACCAAGGCUUUGACGGGUAGCCGGCCUGAGAGGGUGACCGGCCACAUUGGGACUGAGAUACGGCCCAGACUCCUACGGGAGGCAGCAGUGGGGAAUAUUGCACAAUGGGCGGAAGCCUGAUGCAGCAACGCCGCGUGCGGGAUGACGGCCUUCGGGUUGUAAACCGCUUUCGCCUGUGACGAAGCGUGAGUGACGGUAAUGGGUAAAGAAGCACCGGCUAACUACGUGCCAGCAGCCGCGGUGAUACGUAGGGUGCGAGCGUUGUCCGGAUUUAUUGGGCGUAAAGGGCUCGUAGGUGGUUGAUCGCGUCGGAAGUGUAAUCUUGGGGCUUAACCCUGAGCGUGCUUUCGAUACGGGUUGACUUGAGGAAGGUAGGGGAGAAUGGAAUUCCUGGUGGAGCGGUGGAAUGCGCAGACAUCAGGAGGAACACCAGUGGCGAAGGCGGUUCUCUGGGCCUUUCCUGACGCUGAGGAGCGAAAGCGUGGGGAGCGAACAGGCUUAGAUACCCUGGUAGUCCACGCUGUAAACGGUGGGUACUAGGUGUGGGGUCCAUUCCACGGGUUCCGUGCCGUAGCUAACGCCUUAAGUACCCCGCCUGGGGAGUACGGCCGCAAGGCUAAAACUCAAAGGAAUUGACGGGGCCCCGCACAAGCGGCGGAGCAUGCGGAUUAAUUCGAUGCAACGCGUAGAACCUUACCUGGGUUUGACAUGGAUCAGGAGCGCUCAGAGAUGGGUGUGCCUCUUUUGGGGUCGGUUCACAGGUGGUGCAUGGCUGUCGUCAGCUCGUGUCGUGAGAUGUUGGGUUAAGUCCCGCAACGAGCGCAACCCUUGUUCACUGUUGCCAGCACGUUAUGGUGGGGACUCAGUGGAGACCGCCGGGGUCAACUCGGAGGAAGGUGGGGAUGACGUCAAGUCAUCAUGCCCCUUAUGUCCAGGGCUUCACGCAUGCUACAACGGCUGGUACAGAGAGUGGCGAGCCUGUGAGGGUGAGCGAAUCUCGGAAAGCCGGUCUCAGUUCGGAUUGGGGUCUGCAACUCGACCUCAUGAAGUCGGAGUCGCUAGUAAUCGCAGAUCAGCAACGCUGCGGUGAAUACGUUCCCGGG